rnacentral:rRNA from 1 species
UACGAAGGGGGCUAGCGUCGCUCGGAAUCACUGGGCGUAAAGCGCACGUAGGCGGAUUGUUAAGUCAGGGGUGAAAUCCUGGAGCUCAACUCCAGAACUGCCUUUGAUACUGGCGAUCUUGAGUCCGGGAGAGGUGAGUGGAACUGCGAAUGUAGAGGUGAAAUUCGUAGAUAUUCGCAAGAACACCAGUGGCGAAGGCGGCUCACUGGCCCGGUACUGACGCUGAGGUGCGAAAGCGUGGGGAGCAAACAGG